rnacentral:rRNA from 1 species
UACGUAGGGUGCAAGCGUUAAUCGGAAUUACUGGGCGUAAAGCGAGCGCAGGCGGUUUGUUAAGCCAGAUGUGAAAUCCCCGGGCUCAACCUGGGAAUGGCAAUGGAUACUGGCAAGCUAGAGUGCGGUAGAGGGUAGUGGAAUUCCCGGUGUAGCGGUGAAAUGCGUAGAGAUCGGGAGGAACACCAGUGGCGAAGGCGGCUACCUGGACCAGCACUGACACUGAGGCACGAAAGCGUGGGGAGCAAACAGG